UACAGAGGUCUCAAGCGUUGUUCGGAUUCAUUGGGCGUAAAGGGUGUGUAGGUGGCGCGCUAAGUCGGGUGUGAAAUUUCGGAGCUUAACUCCCAAACUGCAUUCGAUACUGGCGUGCUUGAGGACUGGAGAGGAGACUGGAAUUCAUGGUGUAGCAGUGAAAUGCGUAGAGAUCAUGAGGAAGACCAGUGGCGAAGGCGGGUCUCUGGACAGUUCCUGACACUGAGACACGAAGGCCAGGGGAGCAAACGGG
rnacentral:rRNA from 1 species